UACAGAGGUCUCAAGCGUUGUUCGGAUUCAUUGGGCGUAAAGGGUGCGUAGAUGGUCUAGAAAGUUAGUAGUGGAAAAUCGAGGCCCAACCUCGUGGAAGCUAUUGAUACUAUUAGACUAGAGAGCAGGAGAGGUUAACGGAACUAUUUGUGUAGGGGUAAAAUCCGACGAUAUAAACAUGAACACCAAUAACGGCGAAGGCAGUUAACUAUUCUGUUCCUGACAUUGAGGCACGAAAGCGUGGGGAGCAAACGG
rnacentral:rRNA from 1 species